rnacentral:rRNA from 1 species
AUGGCUCAGGAUGAACGCUAGCUACAGGCUUAACACAUGCAAGUCGAGGGGAACGAUAGAGAAAGCUUGCUUUUGAUGGGCGUCGACCGGCGCACGGGUGAGUAACGCGUAUCCAACCUGCCCACCACUUGGGGAUAACCUUGCGAAAGUAAGACUAAUACCCAAUGAUAUCUCUAGAAGACAUCUGAAAGAGAUUAAAGAUUUAUCGGUGAUGGAUGGGGAUGCGUCUGAUUAGCUUGUUGGCGGGGUAACGGCCCACCAAGGCAACGAUCAGUAGGGGUUCUGAGAGGAAGGUCCCCCACAUUGGAACUGAGACACGGUCCAAACUCCUACGGGAGGCAGCAGUGAGGAAUAUUGGUCAAUGGGCGAGAGCCUGAACCAGCCAAGUAGCGUGCAGGAAGACGGCCCUAUGGGUUGUAAACUGCUUUUAUAAGGGAAUAAAGUGAGCCUCGUGAGGCUUUUUGCAUGUACCUUAUGAAUAAGGACCGGCUAAUUCCGUG